rnacentral:rRNA from 1 species
CAGUCGCCACGGGAAUACGGAGGGGGCUAGCGUUGUUCGGAAUUACUGGGCGUAAAGCGCACGUAGGCGGCUUGGUAAGUUAGAGGUGAAAGCCUGGGGCUCAACUCCAGAAUUGCCUUUAAGACUGCCGAGCUAGCAGGUGAGAGAGGUAAGUGGAAUUCCGAGUGUAGAGGUGAAAUUCGUAGAUAUUCGGAAGAACACCAGUGGCGAAGGCGGCUUACUGGCCCAUACUGGACGCUGAGGUGCGAAAGCGUGGGGAGCAAACAGGAUUAGAUACCCGCGUAGUCCCUGUCUCUUAUAA